UCACGGCACGAAAUAUGUUUUUUGCUGUGGGUUCCAUUUUUCCAUACAAUUCACAAGACAGUUACCCACUUGUCGGCCAACAGAAUCACUCCCACUUCUCUGGCCCCCGCCCCGUGCAGGCCCAUCCCUGGCAGGCCAGCUGCACCUGCUCCCCCAUUCCAAACCCUCAGCAGGAUCACAUGACUUGCUCCUGCCUUGAACUCACCCAGCCAGACCUGGCUGGUGUGUCCCUGCCCCACGUCACCAAGGGGAUGACGGCUGCCCCUGGGCCAUCCCCCGCCCCUCAGACAAGGAAGGGAAUGCAGAACACGGGUGUCUAGGACUGAUUGUGUCCCCCAAGCCCACAUGUUGGAGCCCAACCCCCAAGACCUCAGAUGAGGCUAUAUUUGGAGGUGGGACCUUUAAAAGGUGAUGAAGGCGAAAUGAGGUCACAAGGGUGGGCCCUAAUCCAAUGUGACUUGGUGACCUUAGCAGAGCAGGACAGCUGCACAGAGGACGACCAUGUGCAGACACAGGGAGGACAUGGCAUCCACACACCAAGGAGAGAGGCCUCCGGAGAACCAGUCUUCCAGCCUCCAGGCUGAGAGAGAAAUGUUUAAGCCCCCAGCCCGUGGUGUUUGUCACACAGCCUGAGCUGAUGAAGACACAGCCUUCCCUGUUGGUCUGUAUUUGCCCUGGCAGGUCCACCACACCUGGGCCAGAACGUGUGUCCACCCCACCCAGCCAGGUGAGCAGGUGAGUCUCACCUGCAGCAUCUGCAGUGGCUCCCGAGUGCUGCAGUCCUCCAGCCGCAGCAGCAGGGUCUCCAGGGAGCAGCUCUGCUGCUCUAGUGCAACCAUACUCUCCCGCAGCCUGGCAGCCGUGUCCUGCUCCUCCUGCCGCAGGGCCUGCAGGAGGCGCUCCUCCUCCUCCACUAGGAGGGCAGCCAUCUUCUUGAACUCCGUCACAAUGAGCCGUCUCUGCUGCCUCACCUUCUCCUGCAGGUGGGACCUGGAGGUGCCCCAUGUCACCCUCCAGCUUCAGCUGCAGACAACAGACCGCGGGAUAGGAGUUGGAGGCCCCCUGCACGCCCACAUCAGGAGGUGCCUCUGAAGCUGCAUUCUAAGGGGGAUGGACAUACACCCCAUAACAUGCCCCUUGGGCGUGAGGAUUAUUUUGAGCUGGAGGCAGAAAGUCACCUUCUGAGGCUCCUGUUAGGUGACUAAAAGCAGAAGCUGCUGAGGAAUGAGGGUUGCCACGAAUCCGCCUCCCAGGGGAAGUUUUAUGGCUCUGAAGGAGGUGGAAAGUGGGAUACCACUGAUGAACUUUAUCUUUUGUUAGUUUCCCCAAAAUAUUUACUUUCUGUUAUGAUCUGAAUGUUUGUGUCCCCCUAAAUUCACAUGUUAAAUCCUAACCCCCAAGGAGAUGGGGCCUUUGAGAGGUGAUGAGGUCUGAAAGGUGGAGCCCUCAGGAAUGGGGUUAGUGAGGACAGUGAGAAGUGGGCUCUCCAUGAACUGGGAAGGAGCCCCCACCCGACUAAGCUGGUGCCCUGAUCUUGGACUUCCAGCCUCCAGAGCCAUGAGCAUGUUCUGGCUGUUUAUAAGCCGCCCAGUCUUGUGUUCUGUGACAGCAGCUGGAAUGGACCAAGACACUUUCCCAGUUGCUGCCCUUGGGAGCCUGUCACCUUUCCCUUUGUCUCUUCUCUCCAAGUCCUAUUCCUUGUUCAGAUGCCACCUAGCCAGCCGUACACAUCGCUGUGCUUUCUUCCCUGUGACGUGUGCGGGCCACAUGAGUUAACAGUUUGCCUUUCUCUCCUUGAUAUGUCUUUUCUCAGUCUGAUUUAGGGUGGAAGAAAAAGGGCUCUUUCCUCCCCUACAAAGGGUCACCUGGCCUGCCCACACAGAUGGCUUUGAGGCUACAUUGUCAGCCUGGGCUCCUGAAUAACUGUGAAGGGGAUGCUCAGCUGGCCCUGCCACCUGCCUGCUUUAUUGUGGGAGCUACAGACACUUCCACUGUGGGGUCCACCAUAAGGGGCUGUUUGUUACAGCUGCUGUUCUCCUAUCUGGCUGAUACACCCCUGGACACACAGACACAGACCUUGACCCCUGGGCCCACCUUGUGCUCCUUCACGGCCUCCUCCACCGGGACCACUCUGUGAGGCCGGUGUUCCUGGGACUCCCUGCAGACCACGCAGAUGGGGCUCUGGUCAUCUUCGCAGAAGAGUUUGAGCACCUCCUGGUGCACCUGGCACAGAUCCCUGCUCUGGAUGCCCGGGUGCUGUCGUGCCAUCUCGGCCACCUUGGUCAGCAGGCGGUUGGGCCGCAGGGUCCUCUGGGGGGACAGCUCGCGGCACUCGGGGCAGGGGAAGACCCCCCUGCGCUUCCUCCUGCCCUUCUUGCCUUUGGCCUUCUCCCAAGUCAGCCGGAUGCACUCACGGCAGAAGUUGUGGCCACAGGUGGUCAUCACGGGGUCGGUGAAAUAAUCAAGGCAGAUGGAGCAUGUCGCCUCCUCCUGCAGCUUUCUGGAAAGUUCCACGGCAUCCAUGGCUCCUGGGAAAGAAACAGUAUCCGGCCACACCCUCUGCCCAGAGCCCCAGGCACUUGAGGUGUCCUCUUGCAGACAGCACUGAACACGGUCCUGUUAGGGCACCUGGCUUGUCUUCAGUGCGAGGCAUAGGUGCCUCUGAAAGCUGACACCUUCUCCACAACCAAGUUCCAGCCAGGUUCCCUAAGCUGCCACCUGUCUCCGCCUAGCCAUGCCCAGUGUUCCAUUCAGAGCCAUCCCACCCCGCCUAUGAUGAAUGUGCAGGAAUCCUGCUAGUCAGUUUGGCAAGAAGAUCCCUCCCCAUUUCUCUUCAUUGUGAUUUUCCGUCACUAACCCCCUCACCUUGCCCUUGGCCAUCCUACCACCUUGUGGGCUACAGUAGGAGAUGACCCCAUCUACCUCCCUAUUGCAAUAGUCUUGGAUAAAGUCUGCCUUGCUGCUUUAACCAGUGUCAGAACCAGUUUUUCUCUAACAAGACAUCCAUGCAACAAAGGAAAGGAGUACUUUAAAAGGAAAAAUCAGUUGGAAAAGUUCUCUGCUUGACCAAACUAUUCAGGCUCCCAGAACUUUCCAAAUAGGCCCUGGGCUUCCAUGUUUGUGUCUGCAUUGUCCGAGUUUAAUUCGAAUCCCAAUGUGUGGGUUUAGACAGAAGCCCCUACCCAGAGGCUUCCUGUUAGUAAUUUCCUAUCACUAACCCACCUUGACCAGAAAUCCCCACUGGCCCAUCCUGUACUGAGAGUUGAGCUUUCUGUGGGGUUCUGUGCUGUCCCCUACUGCAGUCCUGAAUAAAAUGUUCUUACUGCUCUAACUA